GACGAACGCUGGCGGCGUGCCUAAUACAUGCAAGUUGAGCGAUGAAGAUUGGUGCUUGCACCAAUUUGAAGAGCAGCGAACGGGUGAGUAACGCGUGGGGAAUCUGCCUUUGAGCGGGGGACAACAUUUGGAAACGAAUGCUAAUACCGCAUAACAACUUUAAACAUAAGUUUUAAGUUUGAAAGAUGCAAUUGCAUCACUCAAAGAUGAUCCCGCGUUGUAUUAGCUAGUUGGUGAGGUAAAGGCUCACCAAGGCGAUGAUACAUAGCCGACCUGAGAGGGUGAUCGGCCACAUUGGGACUGAGACACGGCCCAAACUCCUACGGGAGGCAGCAGUAGGGAAUCUUCGGCAAUGGACGAAAGGCUGGCCGAGCAACGCCGCGUGAGUGAAGAAGGUUUUCGGAUCGUAAAACUCUGUUGGUAGAGAAGAACGUUGGUGAGAGUGGAAAGCUCAUCAAGUGACGGUAACUACCCAGAAAGGGACGGCUAACUACGUG
rnacentral:rRNA from 1 species